GUCUGGGCCCUGCGCAUUGCCGCUCUUCGAAUCGUGUCAGGCCCGGAAGGGAGCAGCACUAAGGGGAAUACGGCGAGUGCCGCAGGUCACCUGGGCUCC
rnacentral:SRP_RNA from 1 species